rnacentral:lncRNA from 1 species
GUUGCCUUCCAGUUUAAUGGGCCAAGUUAACAGAUCAGCUGUGUUAGCAUGGUCUCUCCUCUCUCUUCUGUUACAUUCAGGUUUUGCCAAGAGGACAGAAGUUGUUGGUGUCCAUUUCUGCACAAAGUUUAACGGUGUGAGAGUGACCUGCUCUGAUGGACCUGCUGUUCCAGGACACGCUACACUCCAGCGGGUUUCUUCCCUUCAGUUGAAUGCAAACAUACAGCUUUCUUGUUCAGAGCAUCUGAAGAAGAAGAACCAGGAUUUUUGAGUUUAAUGCUGCAUAACGCAGACAGGAAGGCCUUGACAACCUGAGGCUGAAGUUGACAAGGAAGAAUUGGAGAAGCGUUUAAAUUUCCAAAAUAAUGUCCAUCAUAUCUGUAGAAUAUACACAUGCAUAUAUCAGGGCAUCUUUUUGCCAUUGUAGGCAUAGAAAUUUACCAGUUAAAUGUUAGCUUUGUUCUUCUAGAUAUUGUGGCACAGGUGGGUAAUGAUAAA